rnacentral:tRNA from 1 species
AUUUAAGUAGUUUAUUAGAAUUUUGUGCUGAAGAUACAAAAGAGGAUUUUGGUCCCUUAAAUA